UACUAGCGGUCCAAGUCGCAGCCAUUUUUAUUGGGUCUAAAACAUCCGUAGCUUGCUUAAAAAGUUUCUUGUGAAAUCUUAUUUCUUAAAAAUAGGACGUGCAAGAAGUACUAUUAAGCUAGAGACUGGAAGACGUAGGAAGUACGAUUAAAGUAGCGGUAAAAUGUGUUAAUCUUAAUCGGACUCACAAUAGCGAAGGCAUCCUACGAGGACAGUUCUGACAGUAAGGGAUGAAGGCUAGGGGCGCAAAACGGAUUAGAUACCCGCGUA
rnacentral:rRNA from 1 species